rnacentral:tRNA from 1 species
CCCCCAGUAGCUCAGUUGGUAGUAGCGCCUGUUUGAAGCACAGGAGGUCGUCGGUUCGAUUCCGACCUUGGGGG